rnacentral:rRNA from 1 species
AUUGAACGCUGCCGGCAGGCCUAACACAUGCAAGUCGAGCGAGCGGCGGACGGGUGAGUAAUGUCUGGGAACCUGCCUGAUGGAGGGGGCUUACUACUGGAAAUGGUAGCUAAUACCGCAUACCAUCAGAUGUGCCCAGAUGGGAUUAGCUAGUAGGUGGGGUAACGGCUCACCUGGGCGACGAUCCCUAGCUGGGCUGAGAGGUUGACCAGCAACACUGGAAUUAGGACACGGUCCAGACUCCUACGGGAGGCAGCAGGGGGGAAUUUUGGAAAAAGGGCGCGAGCCUGAUGCAGCAAGGCCGGGUGUCUGAAGAAGGCCUUCGGGUUGUAAAGGACUUUUGUUAGGGAAGCGGUACCUAAAGAAUAAGCACCGGCUAACUACGUGCCAGAAGCCGCGGUAAUAC